rnacentral:rRNA from 33 species
GGAUGCGAUCAUACCAGCACUAAAGCACCGGAUCCCAUCAGAACUCCGAAGUUAAGCGUGCUUGGGCGAGAGUAGUACUAGGAUGGGUGACCUCCUGGGAAGUCCUCGUGUUGCAUUCCC